AGAAGAGCAUUACAAACCUCUGAACAGUUAAUGGGGAGGUUCCUGCAGCAAACACUGGAGUGUUUCACUUCCUGUUCCCUGGUGGGCCGGGGUGUGCCAUGAAGCCUGGCAACCCCUGGAAACAUCAGUGCACCCCACCUAACCUCCCACAUCUUGCUGCACCCAAUGUCCAGUGCAAUGCCUCAGAAGAAGUUUACUUCUGACGUUGUACGCAGUAAACAUGAACAAACAUCUACCCCAGUCAGGAGUGCAACCAGCAUUCACCACAGAUGAGCCCAGGAGAAACAAACAAUAAAACAAACUACUGCAGAAGACAAGCAAAUACCCUGUAGCAUGCUAUGGCUUUCCCAGAUGUGGAAAGAGUUGACUGAUCAAGUGGGAAAAUUAAGGAGUCUGCGCAGGCUACAUUAAAAAAUAGAAGCUUCUUUUUUAACAUAAUGCAUUUACCUUACUAUCAUCCACUCUAAUAAAUGUUCCUUAAUGUUCCUUUACAAACCCAGCUUCAAUUGUUCACCACUACACCCCUACCUGCUUGCAAUUUGGUACCUGUAUUUGUUUCUCUUUUUUCCACGAAAUAUUUCCCCACUUUGGUGCUUAGAGGACAAAUGACAUAAAUAAAAUAAUAUAUAUGGAUGUUUAAAAUUC